GAUGAAGAACGUAGCGAAAUGCGAUAAGUAGUGUGAAUUGCAGAAUUCAGUGAAUCAUCGAAUCUUUGAACGCACAUUGCGGCCAUAGGUAUUCCUUUGGCCAUGCCUGUUCGAGCGUCAUUUACACCCUCAAGCCUAGCUUGGUGUUGGGCGUCUGUCCCGCCGUUCUCGCGCGCGGACUCGCAUCAAAGUCAUUGGCGGCGGUCGUGCCGGCCCCCUCGCGCAGCACAUUUGCGCUUCUCGGAGGCCCGGCGGAUCCGCGCUCCAGCAAGACCUUUCACGACUUGACCUCGGAUCAGGUAGGGAUACCCGCUGAACUUAAGCAUAUCAAUAAGCGGAGGA
rnacentral:misc_RNA from 1 species